GAUGAACGCUAGCGGCAGGCCUAACACAUGCAAGUCGAGGGGUAGCAGGAUUAAGCUUGCUUAAUUGCUGACGACCGGCGCACGGGUGCGUAACGCGUAUGCAACCUACCUUAUACUGGGGUAUAGCCCGGAGAAAUUCGGAUUAAUCCCCCAUAGUACUAAUGAAUCGCAUGGUUUAUUAGUUAAAGCAUUGCGGUAUAAGAUGGGCAUGCGUCCUAUUAGCUAGAUGGUGAGGUAACGGCUCACCAUGGCUACGAGAGGUAGGGGGCCUGGGAGGGUGGUCCCCCACACUGGUACUGGGACACGGACCAGACUCCGACGGGAGGCAGCAGUGAGGAAUAUUGGUCAAUGGGCGCAAGCCUGAACCAGCCAUGCCGCGUGCAGGAAGAAUGCCCUAUGGGUUGUAAACUGCUUUUAUUUGGGAAUAAACCUCUUUACGUGUAGAGAGCUGAAGGUACCAAAUGAAUAAGCACCGGCUAACUCCGUGCCAGCAGCCGCCGUAA
rnacentral:rRNA from 1 species